GUGGAUUAGAUACCCUGGUAGUCCACGCCCUAAACGAUGGACACUAGGUGUGGGAGGUAUCGACCCCUUCCGUGCCGUAGCAAACGCAUUAAGUGUCCCGCCUGGGGAGUACGGUCGCAAGAUUAAAACUCAAAGGAAUUGACGGGGGCCCGCACAAGCGGUGGAGCAUGUGGUUUAAUUCGACGCAACGCGAAGAACCUUACCUGGGCUUGACAUCCCUGGAACCCCUAUGAAAGUAGGGGGUGCCUAGCAAUAGGAGCCAGGAGACAGGUGCUGCACGGUCGUCGUCAACU
rnacentral:rRNA from 1 species